rnacentral:lncRNA from 1 species
AUGUGAGUCACCCACCCUGCAGGCUUUUUUUUUUCUUUUUGGACAGGGUCUCACUCUUUUGCCCAGGCUGGAGUGCAGUGGCUCAAUCUUGGCUCACCGCAAACUCCACCUCCCAGAAUCGAGCGAUCCUUCUACAUACAGGCAGGCGUAUUUUGAGGCCCCAACUCUGCUCAAUCCUGCAAGAUCAACUCUAAGAUUCCCAUAUUUUUGAUUUGAAAGACCCAUCUUAGUUCAUACCGAACGUUGCCCUUUGGCUCUUAGGGACUCAGUUAUUGCUGUGCUCCUAGUUUGAUGAAUUGGUAGCGUGAAAGGAAAAUAAGCCUCGGGACACAAAAAUCACUACGCCGACGGGAAAGUCAAGCUGGGAACUGCAUCAGAGAGGAGGAGCUGAUGGGUGCUGAGUCCCAAGAGAAGCACCCUGUUUGCAGAGGGCUAUGGAUACCUCUCACCAGAUGGGGCAGGAGGAACGACGGGAACAACUUAAUAUCAGUAGAAUUGUAAACUCCUUAGCUGGAAGCUACCUUAAGGAAGUGUUUCACAGACUGUAGGUUGAGACCCAUGAGUGAAUUGUAAAAUUUAAUGUAUCACAACUAGCAUUAAAAGAAAAAGAAAACAAUAAACUUGAGUCUGA